rnacentral:rRNA from 1 species
UGCCAGCCGCCGCGGUAAUACGGAGGGUGCAAGCGUUGUUCGGAAUCACUGGGCGUAAAGAGCGUGUAGGCGGCUGGCUAAGUCUGGUGUGAAAGCCCGGGGCUCACCCCCGGAAGUGCGCUGGAAACUAGUCAGCUAGAGUAUGGGAGAGGGAAGUGGAAUUCCUGGUGUAGCGGUGAAAUGCGUAGAUAUCAGGAGGAACACCGGCGGCGAAGGCGGCUUCCUGGACCAAUACUGACGCUGAGACGCGAAAGCGUGGGGAGCAAACAGGAUUAGAUA